rnacentral:rRNA from 1 species
UACGAAGGGGGCUAGCGUUGUUCGGAAUUACUGGGCGUAAAGCGCACGUAGGCGGCCUUGUAAGUUAGAGGUGAAAGCCCGGAGCUCAACUCCGGAAUUGCCUUUAAGACUGCAUCGCUAGAAUUGUGGAGAGGUGAGUGGAAUUCCGAGUGUAGAGGUGAAAUUCGUAGAUAUUCGGAAGAACACCAGUGGCGAAGGCGACUCACUGGACACAUAUUGACGCUGAGGUGCGAAAGCGUGGGGAGCAAACAGG